rnacentral:piRNA from 1 species
UCAAUUUUGGAUGUUCUGCAGCUCUUCUC